UACGUAGGGUGCAAGCGUUAAUCGGAAUUACUGGGCGUAAAGCGUGCGCAGGCGGUUUUGUAAGUCUGACGUGAAAUCCCCGGGCUUAACCUGGGAAUUGCGUUGGAGACUGCAAGGCUGGAGUCUGGCAGAGGGGGGUAGAAUUCCAGGUGUAGCGGUGAAAUGCGUAGAUAUCUGGAGGAAUACCGGUGGCGAAGGCGGCAUCCUGGACCGACAUUGACGCUGAGGAGCGAAAGCUAGGGGAGCAAACGGG
rnacentral:rRNA from 1 species